AGGACGAACGCUGGCGGCGUGCUUAACACAUGCAAGUCGAGCGGAAAGGCCCUUCGGGGUACUCGAGCGGCGAACGGGUGAGUAACACGUGAGUAAUCUGCCCCUAGCUCUGGGAUAGCUCCGGGAAACCGGGAUUAAUACCGGAUACGACCACCUUAGACAUCUUUUGUGGUGGAAAGAAUUUCGGCUAGGGAUGAGCUCGCGGCCUAUCAGCUUGUGGUGGGUAACGCCUACAGGCGACGACGGGUA
rnacentral:rRNA from 1 species